rnacentral:rRNA from 2 species
CUCCGGCCCGCAUUGUAAUUUGCAGAGGAUGCUUCUGGUGAGGUGCCUUCCGAGUUCCCUGGAACGGGACGCCAUAGAGGGUGAGAGCCCCGUAUGGAUGGACACCAAACCUGUGUGAAGCUCCUUCAACGAGUCGAGUAGUUUGGGAAUGCUGCUCUAAAUGGGAGGUAAAUCUCUUCUAAAGCUAAAUACCGGCCAGAGACCGAUAGCGCACAAGUAGAGUGAUCGAAAGAUGAAAAGCACCUUGAAAAGGGGGUUAAACAGUACGUGAAAUUGUUGAAAGGGAAGCGCUUGUGACCAGACUUGCGCCGGGCAGCUCAUCAGGGGUUCUCCCCUGUGCACUCUGCCCGGCUCAGGCCAGCAUCGGUUCUCGUGGGAGGAUAAGAACGGUAGGAACGUGGCCCCCCUCCGGGGGGGUGUUAUAGCCUACCGUACGAUACUCCCGUGGGGACCGAGGUUCGCGCUCCGCAAGGAUGCUGGC